GUUAAUGGUGCUGAUUCUCCAAGGAGGGAGAUUGCUAGUAAAGUGGCUGGAAUGGCGAACCCGAGCACAAGGAGAUGAGAAAUGAGGACAAAUUGCAACCUGUACGGAACAGGAGGUUAAAGGUGCUGAUUCUCCAAGGAGGGAGAUUGCUAGUAAAGCGGCUGGAAUGGCGAACCCGAGCACAAGGAGAUGAGAAAUGAGGACAAAUUGCAACCUGUACGGAACAGGAGGUUAAUGGUGCUGAUUCUCCAAGGAGGGAGAUUGCUAGUAAAGCGGCUGGAAUGGCGAACCCGAGCACAAGGAGAUGAGAAAUGAGGACAAAUUGCAACCUGUACGGAACAGGAGGUUAAAGGUGCUGAUUCUCCAAGGAGGGAGAUUGCUAGUAAAGCGGCUGGAAUGGUGAACCCGAGC